AUGUGGUAUAAGCAUUCCCUUGGUCUGAUUUCACCUAGAAAAUGUUGUGUCGGAGAGCAGUGGUUUGCAAACCUGCAGAUGGGGCCUUGGAACUUACGCUUGCAGAUAAUCCCUUCUCUUAAGGCCAUGAGAUCAGCUUCCGUGCAGAUUGCCUUGAUGUCAGCACCAGAGAGGUCAUCUUUAGCCACGAUCAAGUCGUCCAGGGUUACAUCAUCGGCCAGCAUCAUCCUGCUGGGUGAAUCUGAAGGAUGCGCUUCUUAGUCUUUUCAUCAGGCAGGGGGAACUCAAUCUUCCUGCUAACGCGGCCUGGUCUGAUAAGUGCUGGAUCCAAAGUUUCUAUUCGGUUUGUGGCCACGGUAUCUUUCACAUUUCCCCUAGAAUCAAAUCCAUCCAACAUGUUCAACAGUUCCAACAUUGUUUGCUGAAUUUCUCUCUCACCACCAGAAUUUGAGUCAUAUCUUUCUGUCCCAAUGGCGCCAGUUUCAUCAAUAAGCACAAUGGACGGUUCAUGUUCUUCAGGAACUUGAAACAAUUCCUGUACAAGUUUGGGCCCAUCACCUAGGUACUUCUGAAUAAGUUCAGAGCCAACCACUCUGAAGAAAGUGGCUGAGGUUUGGUUUGCUACUGCUUUGGCUAACAAGGUUUUACCCGUGCCAGGUGGACCAUAGAGAAUGACCCCCUUAGGAGGCUUUAUACCCGUCUCUUCAUGAUAUUCAGCAUGGGUGAAAGGAAGCUCCAGAGAUUCCUUAAUUUCUGGAAUUUGAUUGUCCAACCCCCCAGUAUCGGCAUAGGUCUCCUGGGGGACCUUUUCCACCUUCAUCACUGUGACCAGGGGAUGCGUGUCAUCCAUCAGCACCCCACUCACAGCAUGCACCUUGUGGUUGAGCAGGACUGAGCAGCCAGUUUCCAGCAGAUCCUUAUCUACAAAUGAAAGAAUGCUGACGUAGUGUUCUGAGCCCACAGAUGUAGACACGAUGGCGUGAUUGUCAUUGAUGAUCUCUUCCAAGGUUCCUAUUGACAUCGGGGUUCUCCUCAGAUCAUCCACUUUUGAUCUUUCCUCCUCUUGCUUUUCUUCUAAUGGUUUCAUUUAUUCCUGAUUUCUAAUGAAUUCUUCCUCCAUGAAAAGAUAGUCUUUAAUUUUCUCUAACUUCAGUAAUUUUAACCAGCACUGAGUGUGAGGUGUCACCAGUGGCAGUUUGCUGGCAACAUCUGGUCCCUUUGUUUUCUUCUUCUUUUUCCCCACUCUAGUUGGUACAGGGUGUUGAUAUUUCUUUUUCUUGUCCUUGUCAUCCUUCUUGCCACCUCCAGGACGGUGACCACCACUCUGACUUUGACCCAUCUUGCCUUGGCCACUUGAACUCAAGACUCUUAAAAAAAAAAAAAAGAAAGAAAGAAAUCCAAUUACUCUGCAAAGACUGAUUAAGCCCAGAAUCACUGAUUAUUAUGAUUAAAGUUGAGACCCUUCAAAGGUGAGGUUUAACUUUCUUUGGUGUAGAAGAAAUGUUUCAAGUAAUUGAGUUUCAGAACCUGUCAUUGCUAAACCCCUGUGAGGGGGCUUCGAUUUUGAACCUUUUAAAAACUAUUUUCAGAGGGCC
ensembl:lncRNA